AAGAAACCUAUGAUUGAGAAAAGUAAGUUAAAUUGGGUGUAUACAGAGAGUUGUCAGCGCUGAGAAGACAGCAGCAUAGAUUUUUCCGAAUGGUCUCAAGAGGGCGGCUUGAACCUCUUUAUUGAGUAGUAGAUGUCGACGGAGUGCUCACCGUUACUUAGAGCAGAUGUAUGAUUGUACAUUGAUUAAGAGGGCGUUUCGCCAAAUUGGGUGGUACCGCAGAAGCAUAGCAGCUUUUGUCCCAUGU
rnacentral:ncRNA from 1 species